AUUUGUUCCAUUAAAUAGGCUCAUGCUGUGUAGAAGAUCCUGUGUUUGGACGCCAUUAUUCUGCCAGAAUUCAUUUUAUCCAUCACAACAGGUGGGGCCUACGUUGUAGCAUGUGAAUGAGUGGGUUUAUUCUUUAUUCACCUUUUUACAUUUCUACCCCCAUUUGUCAAAUUUUUAGGCAAAAAGGACUUGAGUACUCUGGUAAAAUAGGGAAAGGAGAAGGCUAAAUAAUUAAAAAGGUACAACUUUUGUCAUUCAUGUGUCUGGCGGCAAAAAUUUUUACUGCUCCAAUUGCUGUGUAACGGUAAAAAAAAUUCUACAAAUGAGGUAAAAAUGGGUAUAAAGGGGAUAAUGUAGUACACUUAAUCCUUAUCAUGUAAAAACAAUAUAUGAAAUGAAAAAUGAAAAGAAAGUUUCACAAACAUCAUCUCCAAAGCCCAACCCAUCCUGACAGAGGUGAGGCACGCACUACAAGCAGGUGGCGACAAUAAAGACCAAGGAAGAGCAAAAGGGUGAAUACGGUGGGAGAUAUUGGGAAAGGCCAAUUUUAGAGCUUUCGAUCCAUUCAGUAUAGGAGAGGAUUGUGUUUUUCACCACCCCAUCUGAGAGUGUAACGCCUUUCCGGUGAUUGUGACAAUGCAACGGCGUUGGUGGAGGGUUGGAGGGUCGGAGAAUCGGAAAGUUUGAGGUAGAGAGAAGAUGGGGUGGUUAAUAACGGAAAAAGAUGGUUACAACGACAAGGCGGCGAUGGUUACGAUGCGUUGGUGAUGGGGUUGGCCGUGAGUCUUUAGGGAAAGUAUUUUUGGAAUUUUAAUUUCUUCUUUUAUUUUUGUUUUAAAUUUGCAUAUUAUUUUUUGAAAGUUUAAAUAGGAAGGUUAAUUGAUCUGAUAUUUUUAUGCUUCUAAAUCGCCUCAUCCGCAGAGCACGAGCCUAUUCAACAAAACAAAUAUAUGACAAGCCACGCAAGAAACACUUUAUGCAAGAAUAUGUUAAUCUGAGG
rnacentral:lncRNA from 1 species